UGACCACGGAUCAGGUGAGGAUACCCGCUGAAUUUAA
rnacentral:rRNA from 1 species